GUUGUGAAAUGUUGGGUUAAGUCCCGCAACGAGCGCAACCCUUAUCCUUUGUUGCCAGCGGUCCGGCCGGGAACUCAAAGGAGACUGCCAGUGAUAAACUGGAGGAAGGUGGGGAUGACGUCAAGUCAUCAUGGCCCUUACGACCAGGGCUACACACGUGCUACAAUGGCGCAUACAAAGAGAAGCGACCUCGCGAGAGCAAGCGGACCUCAUAAAGUGCGUCGUAGUCCGGAUUGGAGUCUGCAACUCGACUCCAUGAAGUCGGAAUCGCUAGUAAUCGUGGAUCAGAAUGCCACGGUGAAUACGUUCCCGGGCCUUGUACACACCGCCCGUCACACCAUGGGAGUGGGUUGCAAAAGAAGUAGGUAGCUUAACCUUCGGGAGGGCGCUUACCACUUUGUGAUUCAUGACUGGGGUGAAGUCGUAACAAGGUAACCGUAGGGGAACCUGCGGUUGGAUCACCUCCUUACCUUAAAGAAGC
rnacentral:rRNA from 2 species